UACGUAGGGUGCGAGCGUUAAUCGGAAUUACUGGGCGUAAAGCGUGCGCAGGCGGUUGUGCAAGACAGAUGUGAAAUCCCCGGGCUCAACCUGGGAACUGCAUUUGUGACUGCACGGCUAGAGUCCGGGAGAGGAGAGUGGAAUUCCUGGUGUAGCGGUGAAAUGCGCAGAUAUCAGGAAGAACACCCGUGGCGAAAGCGGCUCUCUGGAACGGUACUGACGCUGAGACGCGAAAGCGUGGGGAGCGAACAGG
rnacentral:rRNA from 1 species